GCUGCCGCAGCCCGGCCGGCCGCCUCGGACCGGCCCAGAACGCAGCGGGGGGUUCGCACGGGGCGGGGCACCCCGCAGGCCGACCUCGCCGGCUCCAGCUUCAUCAACGCAGAGUGGCUCCCGCCCGCCCCGUCUCCGAAGAAGAUCACAGAGCCUCUGCGUGAGUCCCCGAUUCUCCCGUCUGGCGCUCUCACCUCGCCUCCUAUUUGAUCUCAGGGCGAUGGAGACUGGAAGGGGAACCCCUUCUAGGACCUGAGAGUGGGCUCAUGUCUAACACUCAGAGACAAACUGUCCGAGAAGACACAUGCUGACAAAGCAAGAGACUCUAUUGGGAAGCGGAGCCAGGGUAGAGAGCGCAGGAGAUUCUCUUCCAAGGUCUCCAAGCUCCCUUGCCUGGCUCUGGGGAGGAGGUCUCCGUUCUUCACACCUGGACCUCUGCACAGGACUGCUGGUGACGGGGAGGUGGCUUCCCCAGGAGGCUUCAGUAGCAGCAGCUCACGGGCCCCAGAGCUCGGGCUCAGUGGUGCUGGGGCUUAGUUGCCCUGGGGCAUGUGGAAUCUUUCCCAACCAGGGAUGGAACUUGUGUCCCCUGCAUUGGCAGGUGAAUUCUUCACCGCUGGACCAGGAGAGAAGUCUGUGUAGUACAGUGGAGUGUUCCAGAGGCCACGUAACAUGUAGUGUGACCACAGACCGAACAUAGAAGCGUUUAAGAGAAGCAGCAGUUUGUAUUAAGCAGAUAGUGAAGAAAUUUACCAAAUUGUGAAACAAGGCAUCUCCUCUCCUUACUUAUUUUUGUUUUGGAAAGUAUAAUUAUCUUCCAUUAAAAUGUGUAUAUUUUUAUACUCAAUGAGAUGAUUAUUUUUAAAUGAAUUAAUGAAAAGAUUGAAGUGUUCUCGGUUUUACUUUCUGAUACAGUAAUUAUCGAUAGUGAGAACUCUCACUUCUCUAUGGUGUAAGAGGGCUUUGAGAAGAGCUGGCCUCCAGCAGCCUGACUCUCCAGCUUCAUGGCCAGUGAUUUCCUCUCCUCCCUCAUACUUUUCACAUGAACGUCCAGCUCCAGCCAAGAUGAAGCAAAUCCACUUUCUCCCUUUUCCUCUGGUUAAGUGCUUCCUAAAAUCCUGAACAUCACAGAUACAACCAACAUCUGAAAGGUAAAGCAAAGGCUAGGGACCUCAGGACUCAAGGAGUGACACGUCACCAAGGUGGUAUCAGCAGAGACCCAGACGGGCUGCUGAACUUCUGCUCUGGCCCAGCAAUAAUGAGACGCCCGCCACUCCGCAAGUGUGUCGACGGCUGAAUGGAGACCCUGGACUUUAACCCCCACCUGGGUAACCAGGAAGUCACCUGCCGCCCCGCCCCGCCCGCCUCAGCAGAGCAGUAGGAAAGGGGCCCUGAUGAAACAGAUCAGUCUCACAACACAAUACGUGAAGUGUCCAAGAUGCAAUUUAAAAUCGUGCAUGAUGCCAAGAACCAGGAAAAUCUCAACUUGAAUGAGAAAAGAUAAUUAGCAGAUGCCAGCACGGAGAUGACAGAGAUGUUGGAAUUAUCUGACAAGGAUUUAAAAACAACCAUCAUAAACAUGCUUCACUGAGCAAUGAUAGCAUUGCUCAAUAACUUAAAAUAAAGGAUGACUUAAAGGAACAAAUAGAAAGUCUCAGCACAGAAAUAAAAGAUAGAAAGAAGGAUCAUAUCCUUUACUUGGGCCUUAAAAGUACCACUCGUGUUUCUGGGAUGACCACCCUCUCUUUGUGCCUGGGCCAAGGUGUCUGCCUCUUCUUAGAACACCCAUCUCUCCUUUUUAAAUCCUGCUUGUCCCUGGGGCCAGCUGAGAUGUCACCUCCUCUGCGAAGCAUUCCUUGCCUUCCUUGCCCCUUCCCCCUGAAAGCUCCCUACACCAUAGCACUCACACUCGACUCCAGUUAUUCUGUCAUCUCUCCCUCCGCACCUGCCCGGUGUAAAAACUUUCCAGAGGGCCUGUGUCUUAUCGCAGGUGCCUGGCACAGUACCUGGCUUAAAAUAAGCACUCAGAAAGCUGUUGAAUAAAUGAAGAAA